UCAACUGGCUCAUUCCAGGGAGUUCUUAGC
rnacentral:piRNA from 1 species